rnacentral:rRNA from 1 species
UACGUAGGGACCGAGCGUUGUCCGGAUUCAUUGGGCGUAAAGAGCUCGUAGGCGGCUGCUCAAGUCGAAUGUGAAAACUCGAGGCUCAACCUCGAGCCUGCAUUCGAUACUGGGCGGCUAGAGUCUGGUAGGGGGAUCUGGAAUUCCUGGUGUAGCGGUGGAAUGCGCAAGAUCAGGAGGAACACCGGUGGCGAAGGCGGGAUCCUGGGCCAGUACUGACGCUGAGGAGCGAAAGCGUGGGGAGCAAACAGG